rnacentral:rRNA from 2 species
CCUGGCGGCCGUAGCGCGGUGGUCCCACCUGACCCCAUGCCGAACUCAGAAGUGAAACGCCGUAGCGCCGAUGGUAGUGUGGGGUCUCCCCAUGCGAGACUAGGGAACUGCCAGGC